rnacentral:lncRNA from 1 species
AAUAAGUUAAACAAUGAUAGAGUGUAUUACAACAUAAUAGGGAAACAGGAAGUAUGAAUAAUUUUCAAAUCAAUUUUCUAAUGCAUUUAUCACCUUUCGUUAUGCUUAUUAAUCUUUAACUGAUAACGAUUUUCGAUCAAUAUUAAUUGAACAAUUUUAUAUCUACUGACAAGACAAAACAUUGUUUAUCGCGCGAAUAACGGAAUUAAAAUGCAAACGGAAGAGAAAGGGUUUUUUUUAAUACACAUGACAUCAUGAAAUUUAUAGAUACUAUUCCUAGAAUCAGUGUCAUCAACAGACGUUAUAAAUCGUAGAAUUUCAAAUUUUGAAUUUGGUGAAAUUAGUAAGGCGGACGUAGAAACAUUCAGAUAUGAUUUUGAUAGUUAUCUGUUUAAUUAUUCCUGCAACAGCCGAACUUUCUGAUGUGGAAACGUUAAGAAAUGUUACAAGUUGCAAUCUCGUUGCCAGUGUUGAUCUGACGUGUGUAGGGGAUGAGAUGAUAGCGGUCCAGUCAUUGCAGUAUGCCUAGGAUGUCCGAUAUGAAGGUACCUGUUGUAACAAAUACACUAGCACGGACUGUUUAGAAUUCGCCAGUGAAGCUGACAUUCAGACAUUGCGGCGUACUUGUUCUGGUCAAUCAACUUGUAGUCUAUCAUCUUUUCAAGACAAUCGGAGUUUUUGUGCGUACGGAGUUAAAGACACAUCAUACGUUUUUCUACAAUACUUUUUUAUACCGAGAACGAGAGUAACAAAUAUCUGUUCCACUGGAUUAAAGCUACUGUCGGACAAUCUACCAUUAUACAUUACCAAUGAGAACUACCCAAGCGUCACGACCGGACAUGAAUUUUGUUCCUGUUCUCUGGAAACUUAUUCAUGCACAGCUAACAUACGUGUUUACACGCUUGAUACAGACUUAUAUUUAGACGAGAGUCAUUGUGAGCAAAGUCUCAAAUUCGUAGACAAAUCUAAUAAUACUAUAACUGAACUCAAUUGUGAAAGUCACUACAAAAACGAGAUAGAAAUAAACAAAAUAGCCAAGCUUUAUACUAGAGUGGACUUCAUCAACAAUAGUACAAGGAUAUUUCUUCAUAGGCC